AGCAGCUGGGUUUUAAAAGGCUCCAGAGGAUUCUGACAGUGGCUCCUGUGUGGAUGGCUCCACUGUGGGGCUGACAUCUGGUUACUGGACCUUGACCUUUCUAGCAAUGAUCUGCUGCCAGAACUCCUUUCAGAAGACCAAAUCCUGCCAGGACCCCUAGCGGUGACUGCUGGUGCCUCCGCUGGGCUGUGGGUCCGGGCAGGCUUUCCCUGGGGACUCCAAGCUCCCCAGACAUGGGCACCUUCAGAUCGCGGGCAAGGCAAGAAGAGCACGGCUGAGAGGGACCUCGUGGUUCACGUAACUGGAUCCUUCCAUGCACGGAUGAGACAGCACGGGACCUGCUCAGGGCCACGCAGCCAUGCCCUGAAAACCUGUUCCCUUAGCUGGACACACUCUGUCUGGGUCUCAUGUCCCCUGGCUGGAGGGGAAGCUCAUGGGACGCAGGCUCACCCCAGGGCACCAGGGAAACUGGUUUUCGUGCCCGGGAAGGAUCCCACUAGCUGCCGAGGAGGCUGCUCUCAGCUGCUCAGCUGGGUGGGGCCGGCUGCUGUGUGCUGAGUCCCCCCGCCGUAUGUUCUGCGGGAAGCCGAACCCUGCGGGAACUCGGGCCCUUCUUCCAGAGGGCAGGCUGCAUGGUGUGCUCGGCUGCUGAGCUGCUGCUGGCCUGGAGUCAGAGAUGGGGUGGCCUCCUCUCUGGCUUGCCUUACCCAGAGAGCAGAAGGGAGCUCUCUCCCAGUUUAAAGCAUAUUUCUGUGUCGGUUCCAAAAAGUCUAGACUAGUCACUCCUGGGGGCUUCUGAGUUAUUUCAAGGUGUCUGCAAAACUCCAUUUCCACUGCGUGUUUUCUCAUAAAGCAUCUCAUAACUCAUGUCUUACACAUAUAUGUACUACCUUUUCCAAAUGCAUGGCACUACUGUGGCUGUUAAAAUACCGACCCAUAAAAUAAUGCUUCUGAUACUACCAAUAAAUAAUGAUAAAUUCCAGUGGUUCUCUCUGGGAGGUGGCACUUCAUGUCUGUAAUGUCUAAUUCUGUUAGUACCUUUGUAUGGUACUCAUACGGUACAUCGCUAAUCAAACUAGAAGAAAAGUUAAUAAUAAAAGAUCAUUGUUU